rnacentral:rRNA from 1 species
UACAGAGGUCUCAAGCGUUGUUCGGACUCAUUGGGCGUAAAGGGCGCGCAGGCGGCUACGCACGUCCGUUGUGAAAUCGCUCGGCUCAACUGGGCGGGGUCAGCGGAUACGGCGUAGCUGGAGCAAGCUAGGGGGCAAUGGAAUUCACGGUGUAGUGGUGGAAUGCGUAGAUAUCUGAAGGAACAUCAGUGGCGAAAGCGACUUCCUGGACGAAUACUGACGCUCAUGUGCGAAAGCGUGGGGAGCAAACAGG